UACGUAGGGUGCGAGCGUUGUCCGGAAUUAUUGGGCGUAAAGAGCUCGUAGGCGGUUUGUUGCGUCGGCCGUGAAAACUCAGGGCUUAACUCUGAGCCUGCGGUCGAUACGGGCAGACUUGAGUUCGGUAGGGGAGACUGGAAUUCCUGGUGUAGCGGUGAAAUGCGCAGAUAUCGGGAGGAACACCGGUGGCGAAGGCGGUUCUCUGGGCCUUACCUGACGCUGAGGAGCGAAAGCGUGGGGAGCGAACAGG
rnacentral:rRNA from 1 species